AUUGAACGCUGGCGGCAGGCCUAACACAUGCAAGUCGAACGGUAACAGGAAGAAGCUUGCUUCUUUGCUGACGAGUGGCGGACGGGUGAGUAAUGUCUGGGAAACUGCCUGAUGGAGGGGGAUAACUACUGGAAACGGUAGCUAAUACCGCAUAACGUCGCAAGACCAAAAAGGGGGACCUUCGGGCCUCUUGCCAUCGGAUGUGCCCAGAUGGGAUUAGCUAGUAGGUGGGGUACCGGCUCACCUAGGCGACGAUCCCUAGCUGGUCUGAGAGGAUGACCAGCCACACUGGAACUGAGACACGGUCCAGACUCCUACGGGAGGCAGCAGUGGGGAAUAUUGCACAAUGGGCGCAAGCCUGAUGCAGCCAUGCCGCGUGUAUGAAGAAGGCCUUCGGGUUGUAAAGUACUUUCAGCGGGGAGGAAGGGAGUAAAGUUAAUACCUUUGCUCAUUGACGUUACCCGCAGAAGAAGCACCGGCUAACUCCGUG
rnacentral:rRNA from 1 species